CCGUAGGUGACCCUGCCGAAGGAUCAUUAUUGAAUU
rnacentral:rRNA from 1 species